CUACGUAGAGUGCAAGCGUGUCCGGAAGUAUUGGGCGUAAAGGGUACGUAGGCGGAUAGUAAAGUCAAGCGUGAAAGGUGUCGGCUUAACCGACAGGACUGCGUUUGAAACUGAUUAUCUUGAGUGUAACAGAGGAGAGUUGGAAAUUCCUAGUGUAGUGGUGAAAUACGUAGAUAUUAGGAAGAACACCAGUUGGCGAAGGCGACUCUCUGGGGUUAACACUGACGCUGAGGUACGAAAGCUGGGGGAGCGAACGGGGAUUAGAUACCCGCGUAGU
rnacentral:rRNA from 1 species